CGGCGUGCUUAACACAUGCAAGUCGAACGAGACGAUUUAGAAGCUUGCUUUUAUUGAGUCGAGUGGCAAACGGGUGAGUAACGCGUAGACAACCUGCCGCAAAGAUGGGGACAACAGUCCGAAAGGACUGCUAAUACCGAAUGUUGUAUCUCCUCCGCAUGGAAGAGAUAUUAAAGAUGGCCUCUACUUGUAAGCUAUCGCUUUGCGAUGGGUCUGCGUCUGAUUAGCUAGUUGGUGGGGCAACGGCCUACCAAGGCGACGAUCAGUAGCCGGUCUGAGAGGAUGAACGGCCACAUUGGGACUGAGACACGGCCCAAACUCCUACGGGAGGCAGCAGUGGGGAAUCUUCCGCAAUGGGCGCAAGCCUGACGGAGCAACGCCGCGUGAGUGAAGAAGGUUUUCGGAUCGUAAAGCUCUGUUGAGAGGGACGAGAGACAUAAUCAGGAAAUGGGUUAUGGAGGACGGUACCUUUCGAGGAAGCCACGGCUAACUACGUG
rnacentral:rRNA from 1 species